CGGGGGGGCGUGCUUAACCAUGCAAGUCGAACGAUGAAGCCCUUCGGGGUGGAUUAGUGGCGAACGGGUGAGUAACACGUGGGCAAUCUGCCCUUCACUCUGGGACAAGCCCUGGAAACGGGGUCUAAUACCGGAUAACACUCUGUCCCGCAUGGGACGGGGUUAAAAGCUCCGGCGGUGAAGGAUGAGCCCGCGGCCUAUCAGCUUGUUGGUGGGGUGAUGGCCUACCAAGGCGACGACGGGUAGCCGGCCUGAGAGGGCGACCGGCCACACUGGGACUGAGACACGGCCCAGACUCCUACGGGAGGCAGCAGUGGGGAAUAUUGCACAAUGGGCGAAAGCCUGAUGCAGCGACGCCGCGUGAGGGAUGACGGCCUUCGGGUUGUAAACCUCUUUCAGCAGGGAAGAAGCGAAAGUGACGGUACCUGCAGAAGAAGCGCCGGCUAACUACGUGCCAGCAGCCGCGGUAAUACGUAGGGCGCAAGCGUUGUCCGGAAUUAUUGGGCGUAAAGAGCUCGUAGGCGGCUUGUCACGUCGGAUGUGAAAGCCCGGGGCUUAACCCCGGGUCUGCAUUCGAUACGGGCUAGCUAGAGUGUGGUAGGGGAGAUCGGAAUUCCUGGUGUAGCGGUGAAAUGCGCAGAUAUCAGGAGGAACACCGGUGGCGAAGGCGGAUCUCUGGG
rnacentral:rRNA from 1 species